rnacentral:lncRNA from 1 species
UAAUGCCCAAGUAAAUGGGAGGAAAGUUGAAAAGAAAUAUUCUAGGAAACAAGAUCCAUGGAGCCAACUGCAGCUAGUUAGGAUCAAAGGCUGGGUUUCAUCCGGUCAGAAACAGUUUUCUACAAACCUUGGCAAGAUUUCUUUAUAUUCUACAGUUUAUGAUGUCAGGGAAAAAUCUCAGGCAUGAAUAGUUAAUAGUUGAAAAUUAACAAUGGAUGAUAGUAAGUGAUUGUUUUUGCCUUACAACCUGCUUUUCAAAUUACUUUUCAUCUUAAAAGGCAUCAAAUUGAUGAUUUUUUAGGUGUUUUUAGAUGGUUUUGAUGUGCAAUGUCAAAAAUAAAAAAACAAUCUUAAAAAAACAUAAUUUUGAUGCAUUUUUAAUUAGAAAACACCCUGAACCACAAUACCAAACACACUGCAGACACCAUUUACUGUCUCCAGCAACCAUCAUUGUCAGAAAUGACACAAAAGGCAUUUGUUAAAGCCCCAUGAGACAAUUACAUAUCAGCAUAAUAGGAACAUGCAUGAUAACUUUUUUUUAGUGUUAUUAGACUGCAAUGCCAGCUGUAGUGUUAUGUGAGUGCCUACCCAAACAAACAACUAAACAGUAAAUAAUCAGAAAGUGAGGGAAAUGAGGAAGUACAAAACGCCAUGACAAUAACAAAAACUAAGUGACCCUUUUUUCCAUUUGUGAAUGAAAUAUAUUCAUGCUGUCAGAAGCUCUAUCAUUCUCCUUUCAAACGCACCUAAAUCAUUCCCGCAUCAUUGGGCACACCAUAAACAAAAGAACAAAAGGAUCUCUUUCAAAACCACACAACAUUUUAAAUUUGCAAUUCUCACUAAUAACUUUGGUCUGCUAUUAUUACAGUAGCAAAAGAAUGAUACUACUUUUCAAAACCCCAGGAAACAGAACUCA